rnacentral:rRNA from 1 species
AACGAACGCUGGCGGCGUGUCUUAAGCAUGCAAGUCGUGCGGCAAGGCGGGGCAACCCGCCCUAGAGCGGCGGACUGGUGAGUAACGCGUGGGUGAUCUGCCUUUGGGAUGGGGAUAGCCAUUAGAAAUAGUGGGUAAUACCGACUACGUUCGCCAUGCUGCGGCAUGGCGAGGAAAAGCGCUACGGCGCUGCCCGAAGAUGAGCCCGCGUCCCAUUAGCUAGUUGGUGAGGUAAUGGCCCACCAAGGCGAUGAUGGGUAGCCGGCCUGAGAGGGUGUACGGCCACACUGGGACUGGGAUACGGCCCAGACUCCUACGGGAGGCAGCAGCUAAGAAUAUUCCGCAAUGGACGAAAGUCUGACGGAGCGACGCCGCGUGGAUGACGAAGGCCGAAAGGCUGUAAAGUCCUUUUGUUGGGGAAGAAUAACCAUGGGAGGGAAUGCCCGUGGGAUGACAUGAACCGACGAAUAAGCCCCGGCUAACUACGUGCCAGCCGCCGCAGUAA